rnacentral:rRNA from 1 species
GAUAAACGCUGGCGGCGUGCCUAAUACAUGCAAGCCGAGCGAACGGACGAGAAGCUUGCUUCUCUGAUGUUAGCGGCGGACGGGUGAGUAACACGUGGAUAACCUACCUAUAAGACUGGGAUAACUUCGGGAAACCGGAGCUAAUACCGGAUAAUAUUUUGAACCGCAUGGUUCAAAAGUGAAAGACGGUCUUGCUGUCACUUAUAGAUGGAUCCGCGCUGCAUUAGCUAGUUGGUAAGGUAACGGCUUACCAAGGCAACGAUGCAUAGCCGACCUGAGAGGGUGAUCGGCCACACUGGAACUGAGACACGGUCCAGACUCCUACGGGAGGCAGCAGUAGGGAAUCUUCCGCAAUGGGCGAAAGCCUGACGGAGCAACGCCGCGUGAGUGAUGAAGGUCUUCGGAUCGUAAAACUCUGUUAUUAGGGAAGAACAUAUGUGUAAGUAACUGUGCACAUCUUGACGGUACCUAAUCAGAAAGCCACGGCUAACUACGUGCCAGCAGCCGCGGUAAUACGUAGGUGGCAAGCGUUAUCCGGAAUUAUUGGGCGUAAAGCGCGCGUAGGCGGUUUUUUAAGUCUGAUGUGAAAGCCCACGGCUCAACCGUGGAGGGUCAUUGGAAACUGGAAAACUUGAGUGCAGAAGAGGAAAGUGGAAUUCCAUGUGUAGCGGUGAAAUGCGCAGAGAUAUGGAGGAACACCAGUGGCGAAGGCGACUUUCUGGUCUGUAACUGACGCUGAUGUGCGAAAGCGUGGGGAUCAAACAGGAUUAGAUACCCUGGUAGUCCACGCCGUAAACGAUGAGUGCUAAGUGUUAGGGGGUUUCCGCCCCUUAGUGCUGCAGCUAACGCAUUAAGCACUCCGCCUGGGGAGUACGACCGCAAGGUUGAAACUCGAAGGAAUUGACGGGGACCCGCACAAGCGGUGGAGCAUGUGGUUUAAUUCGAAGCAACGCGAAGAACCUUACCAAAUCUUGACAUCCUUUGACAACUCUAGAGAUAGAGCCUUCCCCUUCGGGGGACAAAGUGACAGGUGGUGCAUGGUUGUCGUCAGCUCGUGUCGUGAGAUGUUGGGUUAAGUCCCGCAACGAGCGCAACCCUUAAGCUUAGUUGCCAUCAUUAAGUUGGGCACUCUAAGUUGACUGCCGGUGACAAACCGGAGGAAGAUGGGGAUGACGUCAAAUCAUCAUGCCCCUUAUGAUUUGGGCUACACACGUGCUACAAUGGACAAUACAAAGGGCAGCGAAACCGCGAGGUCAAGCAAAUCCCAUAAAGUUGUUCUCAGUUCGGAUUGUAGUCUGCAACUCGACUACAUGAAGCUGGAAUCGCUAGUAAUCGUAGAUCAGCAUGCUACGGUGAAUACGUUCCCGGGUCU